AUACGGAGGGUGCAAGCGUUGCUCGGAAUCACUGGGCGUAAAGCGAGCGCAGGCGGUAUGAUAAGUUGGGUGUGAAAGCCCGGGGCUCAACCCCGGAACUGCAUCCAAAACUGUCACACUAGAGUACUGGAGAGGAAAGCGGAAUUCCUGGUGUAGAGGUGAAAUUCGUAGAUAUCAGGAGGAACAUCCGUGGCGAAGGCGGCUUUCUGGCCAAGUACUGACGCUCAUGCUCGAAAGCGUGGGGAGCAAACAGGAUUAGAGACCCUGGUAGUCCACGCCGUAAACGAUGAAUGCUAGUUGUUGGAGGUCUAUACCCCUUCAGUGACGCAGCUAACGCAUUAAGCAUUCCGCCUGGGGAGUACGGUCGCAAGACUAAA
rnacentral:rRNA from 1 species